rnacentral:misc_RNA from 1 species
AACGCAAAUUGCGCCCGAGGCUUCGGCCAAGGGCAUGUCCGCCUCAGCGUCGCUUUACCCCCUCACCCUAUUCCCCAUAUUGGAGAAUAAUGGUGGAACUGGCUCUCCCAAUGCCUAUGCUAUUCGUAGCAUAAUCGCUGGGUUGGCUGAAGCAAAGAGGUUGAUGCAUGGACCCGUUAAUGGGCCUCGGCUGGGUAGGCAGAAAUGCUAUAUUGCUUUAGCCGUUGGCUUGGGACCGCGCUUGUCGACCCAAACCAGGAAUAAUAGGACUGCGGCCCUAUUAACUUUCAACUUUCGACCUGAGCUCAGGCAAGAACACCCGCUGAACUUAA